rnacentral:rRNA from 1 species
AUUGAACGCUGGCGGAAUGCUUUACACAUGCAAGUCGAACGGCAGCACGGGGGCAACCCUGGUGGCGAGUGGCGAACGGGAGAGUAAUACAUCGGAACGUGCCCAGUCGUGGGGUAUAACGUAGCGAAAGUUACGCUAAUACCGCAUACGAUCUACGGAUGAAAGCGGGGGACCGUAAGGCCUCGCGCGAUUGGAGCGGCCGAUGUCAGAUUAGGUAGUUGGUGAGGUAAAGGCUCACCAAGCCGACGAUCUGUAGCUGGUCUGAGAGGACGACCAGCCACAAUGGGACAAGAACGCGGCCCAGACGCAUACGGGAGGCAGCAGUGGGUAAUUUUGGACAAUGGGCGCAAGCCUGAUCCAGCCAUUCCGCGUGCAGGACGAAGGCCUUCGGGUUGUAAACUGCUAUUGUACGGAACGAAAAGGCUCUGGUUAAUACCUGGGGCUCAAGACGGUACCGUAAGAAUAAGCACCGGCUAACUACGUGCCAGCAGCCGCAGUAA